AUCGUUCAAUCUGCAGAAGCAGAUCGGAAGUAGGUUUUUACCGAAGGAACGCGGA
rnacentral:ncRNA from 10 species